ensembl:misc_RNA 7SK 7SK RNA
GGAUGUGAGGGCAGGCGGGUGGCAACAUCACUGAUUCGGCCAAUCUGGCCGGCCAGGUGAGUAUCCCCUUCCUCCCUCACUGCUCCGUGCGCAUCCCUCCGAAAGCUUUGUGCUGGGUCAAGGAGGACAAUCACCCCCAGUAGAAGAGGACUUUUUCCUCUGUCAAGGGUGUAUGAGUAGCUGUGCGACCCUGCUAGAACCUCCAAACAAGCUCCUAGAAGCUAGCAUUACCCUGAUUCCAAACCAGACAAAGAUCCAACAGAAAGAGAACUACAGACCAAUCUCUU